rnacentral:rRNA from 1 species
GCAGUCGUACGAACAGCGGAAGUGCUUGCACUUUCCAAGUAAGUGGCGAACGGGUGAGUAACACGUGAAUAACCUACCUCAAAGUCUGGGAUAACCAUUGGAAACAGUGACUAAUACCGGAUAAAACCCAAGUGCACAUGCACUAAGGUUAAAAGCUGCGUUUGCAGCGCUUUAAGAUGGAUUCGCGGUGCAUUAGUUAGUUGGUGAGGUAAAGGCUCACCAAGACGAUGAUGCAUAGCCGGAGUUGAGAGACUGACCGGCCACAUUGGGACUGAGACACGGCCCAAACUCCUAACGGGAGGCUGCAGUAGGGAAUCUUCCACAAUGGGCGCAAGCCUGAUGGAGCAACGCCGCGUGUGUGAUGAAGGCUUUCGGGUCGUAAAGCACUGUUGUAUGGGAAGAACGGGUUUAAGAGGAGAAAAUGCUUUAGACCAGUGACGGGUACCCAUACCCAGAAAGGGGACGGCUAAAAUUACGUGCCCAGCAGGCCGCGGGUAAUACGUAUGUUCCCGAGGCGUUAUCCCGGAUUUAUUUGGGCGUAAAGCGAGCGCCAGACGGUUGGCUUAAGUCUUGAAGUGAAAGCCCCCCAGCUCAACUGUGGAAUGGCUUUGGAAACUGGGCAACUUGAGUGCAGUAGAGGUAAGUGGAACUCCAUGUGUAGCGGUGGAAUGCGUAGAUAUAUGGAAGAACACCAGUGGCGAAGGCGGCUUACUGGACUGCAACUGACGUUGAGGCUCGAAAGUGUGGGUAGCAAACAGGAUUAGAUACCCUGGUAGUCCACACCGUAAACGAUGGAUACUAGUUGUUAGAGGGUUUCCGCCCUUUAGUGACGAAGCAAACGCAUUAAGUAUCCCGCCUGGGGGAGUACGACCGCAGGGUUGAAACUCAAAGGAAUUGACGGGGACCCGCACAAGCGGUGGAAGCAUGUGGUUUUAAUUCGAAGCAACGCGGAAAAACCUUACCAGGUCCUUGACAUCCUUUGGAAGGUACUAAGAGAAUAGUGCUUGUCUUCCUUCGGAAAGCAAAAUUGACAGGUGGUGUGCAUGGCCCGUCCUCCACCUCCGUGUCCGUGAGAAGGUUGGGUUUAAAGUCCCCGCAACCAAGCGCCAACCCCUUAAUGUUUUAAUUUGCCAACCAUUUCAGUUGGGGCACCUCUAGGACAAAACUGGCCGGGGUGACAAAACCGGAAAGAAGAGCCGGACGACGUCAGGUCAUCAUGCCCCUUAUGACCUGGGCUACACACGUGCUACAAUGGCGUAUACAACGAGCAGCAAACCUGUGAAGGUAAGCGAAUCUCUUAAAGUACGUCUCAGUUCGGAUUGUAGUCUGCAACUCGACUACAUGAAGUCGGAAUCGCUAGUAAUCGCGGAUCAGCAUGCCGCGGUGAAUACGUUCCCGGGUCUUGUACACACCGCCCGUCACACCAUGGGAGUUGGUAAUGCCCAAAGCCGGUGGCCUAACCUUCGGGAGAGCC